AAUAAAUAUUAAAAUUUAACAAACUAAUAAAUUUUAAUUAUUUUUUUAACUAUAAUAAAAUUUAAUAAACUAUAGCACACUAUAAUAAAAAAAUUAAUAUCAUACCUGAUCUCGAAGCCCUCCUGCCGUGGCGCCUCCCGCCGUCGUUGCGCGCCUCCUCUGUGCCGUCACCCUCCUGCCGUGGCGCCUCCCGCCGUCGUCGCGGGCCUCCUCUGUGCCGUUGCCCUCCUGCCGUGGCGCCUCCUCUGUGUCUGCGUGCCUCCUUUCACUUGUGUGCCGUCGCACGUCCUCGAACCCCUGUGCCGUCGCGCGAUAUGGUUUCAAAAUUUCGCAUUUUUUCGGUUUUCACGAUUUUUUAUUUUUGCCUUUGCUUUAGGGUUUUAAAUGUUAAACGACAUAUUCGACCUGUGGAAAAAACCCUCGAAAUUUGCGAAUGAUGCGGAUUCGUCAAAAAAACCGUAUGGAAUCGCCACGUCUACAUCGGAUGCGUCGGGAUUCGUGAGUCAAAUAUCGGAUACGUUUCAGGGGGAAAAAAUCGGUACCUUGUCCGAAUCCACAAGGAUUCCGGGGCGAAUCCGAAUCCGAUACGCACCGCAUCCGGAUUCAUGGGGAAAAUGGGAAGUACCGGUAACUUAGCAUAAUAUUGUUCACAAUUUGGAGGUGGAUGAUUGUAUCAAUGCAAAAUACAUUUAGCUCUUUCAAGUUUCGUGUCCUUGUCUCAUUGAUGGCUUCCUUAGAGCCUUAGCCCAAAUAAUAUAUAGGUAAGAAAAUCUAUCACCCUAUCUCAACUUCUUGAUGAUUUAGAAAAAAUGUAUUAUCUCAUUGUUUGUUGAUAUAUUUUUGAAGUACCUAGAUACUUGCUUUCCAAGAUCUUCCUAAUACUUUAGAUUCCUUCAUGAGAUUCCAACAUAAGUAUUCCAUUAACCUGCUUUUAUACCGCUGUGUUUGGGUCAAAAAUUUCUUUCUUGCCAUAAACAUCAAACAACAAUUCCAUAAUUUGCACUUCUACAUCUUCCCAACCUCAUUAAUUCCCAAACAUUGAAUGGAAUCUUGAACCCACCUUAUUUGGACUUAUAUGCAGUGUUCCGUGGUGGUGUUUCACUAAGUCAUCUUUGGAGAUGGGGAUGUUUUAAAGAUGAUGAUAUAGCAGGGAAACACUCCUCUUCUAGGCCACCAUCUUUGCUAUCAAGUAGAAGACAUCCUUGGGACGUCUUUCUCAAAGAGGGGGCGUUUCUAGGGUGUUUCCCCUCCUCUAAUGGGGAUCUUGAGGAGACAUUGAGAUGUCACCAGGACGCACAGGAAACUCAACCAUGUCCCUGCCUUUUUCAACAUUUGUCAUAUAAAAAAUUACAUAAAAGAAGAUAUUUUAGAAAUUCGGGCUACUAACACUAAACUUAAUAGUCUAUUGGGCCCCACCUACACCCUAAACAUUCAAAAAAUCUAAAAAAAUUGCAUACGUCACAUCAUUUAAACCAGUGAGAUUCUUCAAAAGACUGAAGAUUUGGCUAGAAAUAAUGAAAUAACGAGGACUUGGUGUUGGAGAAAACAGUGAUUAAAUAAUGAAAAUGGCAUGUGCCAUGAAGGUCUGUGUAGUAUCAAAGGUUAGACCCCCACGAGGGGGUGUUGAUGUGUUUUUUAUGCACAUGCGAACACAGAACAAAAUACCAUAAGUAUCUUAUCCUCUCUUGAACAAAGUUAUUCGAAUGCUGAAGAGUUGCAUAAGGAUCAAUCGAAAUAACUCCAAGGUUCUGGUAUGUAGGGUCUCUAUGUGUGGAUAAGCUCUGUUGGUGUGAUGUGAUUAUGCUGGAAUCACAAGGGGACUUACGUUUGUAUGCCUGAAUGCUUGAUUUGUUGGAACUUGAGUCGUAACUACUCACCGGGAGAUAAAGAAAUAUCAAAAGCAUAGGGUUUAGAGAAUCUAUUCUAAGACCUAGAAUGUAAGAAGGUAGAUGAACGACUAGGUGGAGUCCUAUUGGGCGAGGUCUCACCAUCAAAUUGAACAAUUCAACACCAGCUCAGUGCGAUCUUUUAGGGUAGUUCCGAAGAUGUUCAAAUCAUUACUGUCAAACAUUGAUCAUAAUUCAAGUUUAUGGAUGAACAAUAGACACAUAACGACUUGAGAUUAAGCUCAUUCUAUGCCAGUUGACCACGCAAGGCGCACUUACAAUUAGCAAGAGGCUAGUGGUUUGGACUAGGCAGAUUCCACACGAGUGCAUUCAAUAACUUCUUUCAUUCAAUCUAAUUAUUUACCAUCUAAGAAUGAAGAUUCAACAAGAAACCAUGCAUAUUGCAAGAAACAACACAUUUCACCUUAACUUCAAUGAAAAUGUAGUCCAUUUACAAUUUAGGCAACAAUUUCUUGCCUUCUCCUUAUCUACUCUAAUUGCUACUUUAUUCACUAUUCUUAUGCUUCAGACUAUUCUACCAACUAUUAACUAUCAACUCACUAUUAACCUUUACAAAUGAUGAACCCGAGCUUUAUAUAGGGAGCUCUUUACAAUUCAAUGGCUCUGAUUGAUUUACUAUCAAUGGCUAGGAUUACAAGAUGGAAAACCCUAAUUAGGGUUUGUUACAAGAAACUCCUUUAGCCAAUGAGAAAAUUACAUUUAAUGCAUGAGAACCAAUGGGAAAUAGGGGUAGGUGCAUCGGAGUUUGUGUCUCCGUACAUAGGUGGGAUUCAUCGAAUCUGGACACGCUGAUGUGGACCCUUCUGACUGGAGGAACGGUUACUGGGAUGCCACCUUGUUUGGUACUUGCUCUAUGAUGACCUUGGUCGAUCCUCCUUUGUCUUUGAUGCACUUGAUGAAUGAUGUACCCCCUUGACUCUCAUGUGUUUGAUGAAGCCUCUUCACAGUCAAGUCACUCCUUUUCUGGUAGCAUAUCUCUCUUCGCAAGAUCCCUCUUUUUGACAUCUUGUGAUCUCUCCAUGUGGUAGAAUGAGGUCCUUGAGGAUAGCUUGGUCUAUUACGUGCAACUCUUUGAACACUUGAAGUCUUCCAACUUUGAAGCACUUCGAGUCCUCCACACGUUUAAAGUGCCCUUGAUGAUGAUGGAACUUGAAUAGGUCCUCCUUGUCCUUGAUGAUGAUGGAACUUGAAUAGGUCCUCUUUGUCCUGGCUUGAUCUUCCUCCAUCUUGAUUUUGUUGAUCUGCAAAACAAACAAAAGAUGAUUAAGUACACAUGAUAUAUUGAUUCUAACAUGGCAUUUCUUACCUUAAAUCAUCAACAAGAAGAUAUUAAGAUUAAUUUCGCUUUGGAUCCUCUCCAAGGAUAGGACCUAUAAUGAGAUUCGCUUUGGACCCUUUGGAAGGGUCAGGAGCGAAGUUCGCUUUUUUGCACAAAUUCCUCACUUUUCCUCAUUUCACUUGGUUUAGCUCAUUUCGAAAGGCAUGUAUAAGUUCAUUUUUCAUUCACCCAAGGCGUGGAAUCAAGGAUUUUAACCUAUAUGCUAGAAGCAGGAGAGGUUUUUAGAGAAAUUUGCUUUGGACCCUUUGGAAGGGUCAUGAGCGAAAUUCAUGUUUUAAGCCCAAUUUCUUCAUUUUCCCCUCAACUUUGCUCUUAGACUUGGCUUUUAGGUCCUUCCUUCAUCUUAAUCAAGUCCAUUUGCCUUCAAGCUGAUGUCAACUCAAUGCUUUUGAUGACAAAUUAGGCCUUUCUAAGGAUUUCGCUCUGGACGCUUUGGAAGGGUCAGAGCAAAAUUUCCUAAAAUGCUCAAAUUCUUGACCUUUCUCCAAAUUUUCAAGUCUAGACUUGAUCAUUAGGCUUUUUCCAAGGAUAAAUAGGUCAGUUACACAUCAAUCAAAUGCCUAGAACUUCAUCAUUCAUCAACUGGACCAAUCUCAAACCCUCAAAUGGGAAAUCCUUGAUGAUACUCACUCACAAACCUUCAUUCACUUCCUUAACUCAAAGACAUAGGUCUCAAAAGGCAAGACUCCUAGCAGGAUAUAAGGACUUCCUCAAACUCAAUCAAGACUUCACCUAGAAACAAGAGCAAAGCCAAACCUAGAGAAGGCUUUCAAAGAGACCCUGACCUGGACCACCUACUGACCCACCUCAACUCAAGCAGACCCCCCUAUCCUAAUGGUCUCUCUGGCAACUCUCCAAUGCAAAGGCUAAAAGCCAAGACCAGACAACUAAGCAAAGAAAACUAACCCAAGAAAGCAAAAAGUAGGGAUCCCCAUUGCAAUGGGGCGAUGUGUGAAUACGUCACAAGAAGGGGUUCCACCCCCUGACCGCAAAUUGAGGUCCUUGGCCCCCUCCCCCCCAGCCCUGAGACUCUAUGGAACAUAGCUUCUAGACAACCUUGCUAACAAAUUUUUUCUUUAGAAACUCUUUCUCCGAAGUCUUCAAUAUCCUUUUAAAUGCCUUAACUUCUCAACAAAGAUGGGCAUCAUAGCCCAAUGAACCUUUUAGGUGCUUUCACUUCUCUAUUCCCUCUCUAUUCCCAUAGAAUCCCUAUACUUGGACUUUUCCAUUUACAUUAUUACAAAUCUAUAAGGGGAUUUAUGGAGUGGGACAUUCUCCUUAAUCUUCACACAUACAUGACAUCCAGAUUUUGGAGGCCUCAAACAAAUCACAGAAAAUUGAGUUUCUAGGAAAUUGCUAAUGCUGUGACCUUAAGUAUCAAUUACCCUUCUCAUUGCUUUACUCCACAGGGUUUCAUCAUAACUUUCCACUUAACUGGCUCUAAGUCUAGGUUCUUUCAACAAAAGAGUAAUUGGUUUCUCCUUGUUAAUUGAACCUUUCAAUAGUUGUCUCUUCAAAGGAGCAUGCAUUCCCAUUUAUUCUAAUAAAUAAAGUUGAUGAAUCUUAUAACUCUUUUCAAGUAGUUGUUGUUAGAACCUAGAGGCGCUGAUAACUAGCCACCUCUUUAAUAGGCUUCUUCAGAAUCUUCAUAUUAAUACUGUCUCUGUCCCUCUUGCUUUGACUCGGUCAGAUGUGUUCUUUUCACUACUUGAUACAAUGAUGGGCCAAUCUCUUGUUUCCUUAUUUUCAUUAGUUCCUUCCGUUUUCCCCAAAUGACCAUCUGGUCUGUGCCUUUUACCUUUCUGGUCCUAUAUUCCCCUUCCCUUGGACAUUUUACACAUGGAUUCUUUUGUCGGCUUGCCUUUCUGAGCCUCAUCUAGGAUGCUUUCAAUGUAUUUGUAAACACAAAUUUCUCCAUCAAGCUUCUAUCCUUAACACCUUGUUUGGCACUUGUCUCACCUUUUCAUCCUUUGCCUCUCAGCUCCCUUAUGGUCAUUAGCUCAAGCUUUGUCAUUCUUGCUGAAUUCCCCCACCUUUCUGCAGCUAGCCUUGGCAAUAUGCUGCUUCUUUGUCUUAUGAAAACUUUUCCUCAUUUCCUUGUGCUAGCAACCCCCCUUGAUGGAAUGGAAUUUUUUGCUGCUCUUCCAAAGGUCAUUCUUUUGCUAGGUGUCCAUACUUAUGAUUGGUACUACACCUGAACAAGAUGCACUUAUAAAUGAAUGGCUAGAUUUAUCCCAGACCUGCCAAUUUCAGCAUGCCAUUUGGCUUUGGUGAUACUCGUAUAGUUUUCUUUUACGUCUUAAAGUUUCUUGAAAAUGUGAAAAAAUCUUCCCAUGAUUCAGGGUUACUGGGAAACAUAGUGCAACUUAUCUCAUGUGGCACCUGAAAUACACACAUAACUGACAUGAGCACUAGAAGGUAUUUCUUUCAUUGGUUGGAAACUGAUAUGCCAAUACUCUAUGAAAAGACCCAAAUUGUAUAAAAAAAUUCCUUGGAAUAUCUGCUUCCUAUCUGCCUCUUUACAAUGAUAAAAUAUCCUCGGGUACGAAAUUAUCUCAUGGUCCCUACGGGUUCCAAAUUUUCCUUGUGCAUAUAUGCAAACCUUCCACUGGAAGUUGGAUAAAGAAAUUUUUCACAAAUCAAACAUCUAUAGGGUUGGACUUUUCACUCUCUCUGAACAUUUUGCCAUUACUUAUUUAUUAUUAUGCAUAUACGUCCAUUUAUUAGUUAGUACUCUCAAUAACUGACAUUUUUCUGCCAAGCUAACUUACCACAUACUUUAGCACAGCUGAUUAUUCAAACCACGAUUGUAUAUCAACACUAAUGCUUAAUACAAGGAUACCUUCCAAGGUCUCAUAGUAGUCUCCUACCCCACUAAUUGCUCUAUCUUAGAAGAAUUCUCAAGUUGAAUGCUGAAGAAUUUUAUGUAGUUUCUGAAAAGAGUGUAACUAAUUAAUUUAAUUUAUGUUUUAAUUUGAUUCACGUUGGAUGUAUAAUAUCUAGGCAUCUCAAAUUUCUGUGUAAAAAGAACAGUUCUUUUUGCAAUAUAUGUUUUCCAAAUUUUCUGUUUACUUCAGAUCAGGUUCAUUCAAGUUGGAUAUCUACUUUCUAGAGAUCUCAGAUUUUUGUUUAAAAUACUAAAAAGACAGUUCUCUUUUCAAUAUCUGUUUUCCAAUUUCUCUGUUCACUUCAGAUCAGGUUCAUAAAACUGUUAAAAAAUUAGCAAUUUUGUUUCAAUUCCAUAACUAUGGUGCAUGAGAAUGUAAGUUUUCUUGAGACCUCAUUUGUUUAGCAAAUGUUCACCAGGCUUACUUCUAGGCCUAGCAUUUUUUAAAAUUAAUUCUAGAUUACGUCUUUAUUGUGACACAACUUUGCAAAUAUUUCAUAAUGUUCUAUGCAAGUUUGCAGAUUUGUUCUAAUCUCGUGAUCACAAAUCACGAUAAUUUAAGAUUUGCCUCGUACAACGUUGUUGAGCAUGUCCAGUGGACGUGGUUAAGCUGUAAUGUGGGAACUUAUUGUCACAAUGACCUGAGUUGAAAAUCUCGUGGUUGUGCAAAUAAAUGUCGAUGUGUAUGCUGUCCUAAUGCAGUCUGGUGCAAAAUGGUGGAAGAUGUGGUUUGAGGGGAUCGUGCAUGUAUACUGCAGGUCUCAUUGGACUAUUGGGUGGAUUUAUGUUUGCAUAUGAAAGCUCUGCAGGAAGGCUUAUGGGCUUAUUUCCAAAUCAAGAGGAAGUUGAAAAGUACAAAAAGUGAAGUGCUGCCACCAUAAGCAGCUCGAAUCGCCAUUCAAUGGGUUUCAGGAACAUUAGAGAAUACCACGUGAGUUGGCAUGUAGGUUACGUAAUUUAUGUCUCCUGCUAUUGGAUGUAUUCUACAUUUUAGCAUGUCUUGUUGGGUUAUUUAUCUAACGAGUAUGUCAUGGUCAGACAUUCUGAUCUACACUUCUAUGUGGCUUAGAAGAAAGUUCCUGUUCUCUGUUAUGCUGCCUUUGGUAAGGAUCUCUAAUUUGAGCAUCCUAAACCAAGGUUUUGAUAUUCUUUUUCUCAUUUUGGAUAAGCCAAUAAAUGUUUUGCAUCAAGGUUUUGAUGAUCAAAGGUCUGAUUGGCGAGUAUCCUUAAAGAUGACGUUUAUUGAGUAGUGGGGCUCAUAGUCCUUCUAAAGUUUAGCAUUGCUUUGCACAACCAGUUUAUUGUUGUGAGGCUCACAUUUAUUUAAAUUUAAGAAAGGUAUUGAGGGUUUUUUUAAGCAAAAUUCCCUCCAUAUAGUGUUGCAGGUGAAAUGAUUUUUACUGGUAUACUAUAAAGUAGUUCAAGAGCAACUACGAGGGUUUGAUUUUA